AAACAUGGCCUACUUGUUGAAAAAUAAAGAGGCCAUGGAUGCCAAUCUGAUCAUUCUCUGGAAGGAGAAGAAAAAGAAGUCCGACUCACUGCAGGACACAAACAUCAACUUGAAGAAAAGUUAAAGGCACUAAAGGAGAAGAAUCAAAACCUACUGAAUCAUCAGUGAAAGGUCAAUAAAUAGGAGAAAAAGAUUUUUGAUCUACAUACUAUUGCCAAGAAGAAUAAGGAAUUGGAGUCAAGGCUUAGAGAGGUGGAGAAGGCCAAUGAGGUGUUAGAAAAUGUAGGUGAUUUCAUACAUAUACUUCAAAAAUUUUCAAAAUAAAUCACAACAGAAAGCAACUAGUUUAAUCAUAUUAAUCUAACAUGCAUAUGAUCAGAUCAAUAAAUCAACCUACUCGAGGAUCUAUGAUAUGAUAUGAUGUAUAUAAAAUCUAAAAAAAAUAGAAGAUAAAAUCUAUAUGCAUACAUGUGAACAGUAGAUCAGAUUUACUUCUAAUCUGAGUUCAAAACUUGAUACCUAAGCAUGGAUCGAUGAUCGUCGCUAUUGAGACAUGUGGUGAAGAGGAUCCUUGCUAGUUGCUCACAGCCGCACACAUGUCUGAUCUCUACGAAAAGUUCACUCAAAGCUCCGAUCUGAUCGGUCUCCUCAGAAGUGCUAGCUCGCAUGAAGACCAUCUUGUUGGUUGAUCUGAAUCUUUUCUUCAAAUCUCUCGAAUCUUUCUAGAGGUUGAAAAAGGACAUCUAGAG
rnacentral:lncRNA from 1 species